ACUCCCACAAAUCCCAUGUUCAUUCCUGUUAUACAGUGAACGGUGCUCUGACUUCACAUGGCUGCCACUUUGCCGCACAACCAUUGCCACAUGUAGGUGCAGUAAGUGGAAGUCUGUUUAGGGAAAACUUCCUCUCCUUGUCUAAUCCUCCUUAACCUCACCAUAAAACAUAUCGUCAUGG